rnacentral:rRNA from 1 species
UACGAAGGGGGCUAGCGUUGCUCGGAAUCACUGGGCGUAAAGGGUGCGUAGGCGGGUCUUUAAGUCAGGGGUGAAAUCCUGGAGCUCAACUCCAGAACUGCCUUUGAUACUGAGGAUCUUGAGUUCGGGAGAGGUGAGUGGAACUGCGAGUGUAGAGGUGAAAUUCGUAGAUAUUCGCAAGAACACCAGUGGCGAAGGCGGCAUCCUGGACCAACACUGACACUGAAAAGCGAAAGCCAGGGGAGCAAACGGG